UGUCAUUAACAUCAAAACAGUCGAGCAUGUGUGAGAAGUGCUUGAAUUCUCAGUUAUUCUCAUUAUUAGUUCAGUGUUUGGUUUUUCGCUGUGUUUAAUAGUUUGGCAUGAAUAGAAUAAAGUACUGUAUGAGUAUUUUGAGCUGACGGAGGCUUGUGAUAAAUCAACAGAUACUGAUAUAUAGAAACAUGUGGAUAAGGAUAUGGAUGAAGUUAAAGAAUGCUUGAGAGAUUUUCCUAAAGAGGCUCGGGAGCUUUAUCUUAAUGAUGCAGUGCCAUACCUGGACGAGCCUCUGUCUCCACUUCAGUUUUAUCGCGACUGGAUUGGCCCCAACAAGCCUUGCAUCAUUCGCAACGCUUUCAACGAUUGGCCAGCUUUGUCUAAAUGGAACCCCACAUAUCUCCGGUUAGCCAAUCAGAUGAUCAGAUCAGCCUUCUCAUGUUGCUGCAGUAUUUAUUGCAAGAGAAAGUAGGCUCCAAAGUCAUCAGUGUGGCCGUGACUCCAAACGGAUUUGCAGAUGCUGUGAAUGGGAAUCGCUUUGUGAUGCCAGAGGAGCGUCAGAUGAGCUUCUCCUCUCUGCUGGAUAUUGUGGAGGGAAAGAUAAAGAGCAGCGCUGUGUUUUACGUUCAGAAACAAUGCUCAAAUCUGAUGGAGGAGAUCCCAGAGCUGACAGGAGACGUACAGACUCAUAUUCCCUGGAUGAGUGAAGCUCUGGGAAAACUUCCAGAUGCUGUGAAUUUCUGGCUUGGGGAGGAAAGUGCUGUCACAUCAAUGCAUAAAGAUCAUUAUGAGAAUCUAUAUUGUGUGAUUUCUGGACAGAAAGAGUUUGUUUUACUUCCUCCGACUGAUAGACCUUUCAUACCGUAUGAGCUCUACCAGCCAGCAACAUACAGACAGAAAGACGACGGCACCUUUGAAAUAGUGGAUGAAGAAAACUCACCCAAAGUGCCAUGGAUCCCCCUAGACCCACUGAAGCCAGAUUUCGAGCGUUUUCCCUCAUACAGACAUGCCAAAGCUCUGCACUGCACUGUUAAAGCAGGAGAGAUGUUGUAUCUGCCCUCGCUCUGGUUCCAUCAUGUGCGACAGUCUCACGGCUGCAUAGCAGCUCAGUCAAAAUACCUAACCACAGCCAAUGAAAUUUUGAGGGAGGAGCUGUCAAAAACACUAUUGAUACAACACUAUUGGCUGCUUGUGUGCUGACAUCACUGACAGCAAGGUUUAAGUGGAUCGAUGUGACUUUAACACUAUAACUACAGAGGCGUGAAUUUCUGGUAUGACAUGGAAUAUGAUAUCAAGUAUAACUACUUCCAGCUGGUGGAGGCUCUAACAAACGCUGUGGGAU